ensembl:rRNA 5S_rRNA 5S ribosomal RNA
ACCAGCAGCCAUAUCACCCUGCAACUCACAACUAGCAACUCACUGAAACUAAACAGGUGUGAGCCUGGUCAGUACCUGGAUGGGAGAACUCAAGGGAAAAACUAAGGUUGCUGCUGGAA